CAGCCGCCGCGGUAAUACGUAGGGUGCAAGCGUUACUCGGAAUUACUGGGCGUAAAGCGUGCGUAGGUGGUGGUUUAAGUCCGUUGUGAAAGCCCUGGGCUCAACCUGGGAAUUGCAGUGGAUACUGGGUCACUAGAGUGUGGUAGAGGAUAGUGGAAUUUCCGGUGUAGCAGUGAAAUGCGUAGAGAUCGGAAGGAACAUCUGUGGCGAAGGCGACUAUCUGGGCCAACACUGACACUGAGGCACGAAAGCGUGGGGAGCAAACAGGAUUAGAUACCCCAGUAGUCCCUGUCUCUUAUAC
rnacentral:rRNA from 1 species